rnacentral:tRNA from 1 species
GGGAUUGUGGCUCAGUGGUAGAGCACUUGCCUAGCAAGUGCAAGGCCCUGGGUUUGAUCCUCAGCACCA